rnacentral:rRNA from 1 species
AUUGAACGCUGGCGGCAGGCCUAACACAUGCAAGUCGAGCGAUAGGCGGACGGGUGAGUAAUGUCUGGGAAACUGCCUGAUGGAGGGGGAUAACUACUGGAAACGGUAGCCAAUACAGCAUACCAUCAGAUGUGCCCAGAUGGGAUUAGCUAGUAGGUGGGGUAACGGCUCACCUAGGCGACGAUCACUAGCUGGUCUGAGAGGAUGACAAGCAACACGGGAACUGGUACACGGUCCAGACUCCUACGGGAGGCAGCAGUGGGGAAAAGUGCACAAUGGGCGCAAGCCUGAUGCAGCCAUGCCGAGUGUGUGAAGAAGGCCUUAGGGUUGUAAAGCACUUUCAGCGGGGAGGCGUUACCCGCAGAAGAAGCACCGGCUAACUCCGUGCCAGCAGCCGCGGUAAUUC